rnacentral:lncRNA from 1 species
AUGCCAGGAGAUGAGGGUCAGGCCCGGGGCCUCUUCCUCCUGGGCCGGGUCAACGGAUCCCUUAUCUGGUGACACCUUAUCGCACGUCCUUGGCUGGUUCAGGAGCUGGCUCCCCGAGGUACCGGGAGGCCCAGUGGGCAAUCAAGGUGCCAAGCGCAGACCACGGGAGGGGCGGCCUCGGCCUCCAGACCCCGCCUGGGCCCGCCCAGCCUGCUUCCCAGGAGCCUCUCAGGCCCAGCGCUGGCCAGCGGGCCAUGGCAGCACAGUAGGAGGCGAGAGGCAAGAGCAGAAUGGGAGGGCAGGGCAUCCCCCAGGCCCAGGAGAGACGGUCAGCCCUGGGUCAUGGAGACUGGUGGGAGCUUCCUGGUAGCCAAGGCAAAGGGGAAAGAAGUUGGAGGAAGGUGGGGUGAGGGGCAGCUGGUCCUGAGAGAGCCCAGGACACAACCCCAAAGAGGCUUUGGCCACCCCCCUGCUGUCCCCACUCUUCCUCCUCAGGAAAAGUGAGACUGAGCAGACACCGUGUUCCCUGGGGCACACACUGAGCACUGUGUGCCGGCCAUGCUGGGAGCUGGGGAGGCGGUCGUGAGGAAGGCCUGGUUCCACCGCGGAGGCCGUGUCCAGAGAGCUCCAUGCCAGGCCAGCCAAAGCCAAAGCCAAUCAGCCAUUGGUGCGGCUGCUCCUGGAGCCUGGGCCUGGGGGCCGCACAGCCUGAACAGGGGCCACCAGAGCAGGACGGCCACCAGGCCCUCAGCAGAGGGGGGCAGCCGGCCUGAGACCAGGGCUGGAGGCCCAGACCCAGAGGAGAGGCCCGGGCGGGGGAUGGGGCUUCCCACCCAGGACGCUGCCUAGGGCCUGGCCGCGGGCUGCAGGCCCCAGCCCCUCUGCCUCAGCGCCUCAUCUGUUAGAAGCCCACUCACCCGGGGCCGCGCUGAGGACUCCAAGGUCAUCCCAGGCACACGGCCAGCGCCAGCCGAGGCGCCUUCCAGGCACAGCAGUGCCCAGCCUCCGGUCUCCUUCCCUCUGGCCUCUCUGGGCCCGGCCCACCCAUGCAUCCUCAGCCCUCCUCCAUCUCCCCACACAGAUGUCCCUGACGCUCCUCGGGCACACACUCUGUCCUGCCUCAGGACCUUUGCGCACGCUGCUCCUUCUGCCUGGGAGGCUGUUCCUGCCUGCUCACACCGUCCUCUGCUGUCCUCCCGCCUGGCUCCACCACCCCCUCUCCCCAGCUGUCUUGGCUCUUGGGAAGGGUCUGGUCAUGUGGGCCUCCUCUCCUCGGCCUGGCUUCUCUCCAGAUUGACCCCUCCACUGUGAGAGGUCACUCUGUACCUCGCGCCUAGUAGGACUCAAGACACUCCCGAGGACCGAGGAACGAAGCUCUCGUUCUGUUUCCUCAUUGGGUCAAAUUGGCACCCGCCUGGGAGGUCCUGCUCCCGGUCACCCCACGUGGCCACCAACUGGGCGAUGCCCAGCACAAGCCCUGUCCCCUGAUUCCCGGUCAGCUCGGCGCUCUCUGGGAAGCCGACCGGCCUCUGGGGGGCAGCAUGGUGUCACGGGAGGAGGCCAGCUGUGGCCUCCAGUGGCCUCAGGCUUGACUCUGCGCCGCUGCUUCUCCAGCCAAGUGACACGGGUGGCCAGGCCCCUCAACCUGCCCCAGAAGGUCAGGCCGCGAAGGGUCUUGCUGGCGGGCAGGCUGGCGGGCGAGGGCAGGAACAGGAAGGGCAGGCGCCGUGCUGGCCGCCAUCACUUGGGACAGACUGGGGAGGGUCCUCGCCCCGCCUCCCUCCACCUCCGACGCGGCGGCUGAGAUCUCGGACGGUGGUGGGCUCCUGCGGGCAGCCCCUGGGCUCUGGGGAGCUCGCCGUGCCCCUCGCGCUCCUGCCUUGGGUCUGGCCGAGCAGGGGGCUGUGGAGACCAUCCCCAGGGACCGCCCCCCCGUGGCUCAAGACCACCCCGGAGUGGCCCCAGUGGCUUCCUCCUGCCACUGGGUGGUUCUGCUGUGGAGCUGCAGGCCGCCCUGGACCGCUCUGAGGCCCCGUGGGGACAGGGUGGUGCUCUGGGGGCCCGGGGAGCAGGGUCUCCCCACCCUUCCCAGCGCCUAGAGGCCAGUGGUCUUGGCUCAGGCUGUUCGUCUGGACUCUGCCCCUCUGACCAGGGCCCGGGGAAGGUAGGGCCACUGCGGAGUCCAGCCUCAUUCCCACCUCCCGGCCUCCACGCCAUCUCAUCUACAGGUUCCCUUUGUCCUAGGCCACAUGGUCCUGCCCUGGGCCUUAAGGGGUGGCCACCUCGGGCAGCCAUUGUUUGACCACCUCAGGCCGGGACAGGCCCAGCCCCUGGGCCACUUGAGGGUGGCCUGUUCCUUGGUCCCAGGAGAACAGGGGCCCAGAGAGGCCAGGGCACUCGGUCAGAGGAGCCCCGAACCUCCAGGGAGAGCGAGACCCAUCCCGGCUCAGGUCCGGGGCUCCAGCCUGGGUGGCCACACCACACCACCCCUCGGGAGGAGGUCCACCAGGCUGCAGCUCCCCCGGCCCUGGACCGCGGGGUGGGAACCGCGUGGACGGGGCACUCGAGGCUGCGGGUUGGAUUGGCCACGCCACCCACCCGCCUCGGUCUCUCCCUCCAGGAAAGUGCGAAGCGCUGGGUGGUGGGCUCAGGUGGGGCCGUCAGGAUCCAGACCCAGCCGCAGGGGACGCGGGUCCUUCCUCUAAACAGGCCGUGGCCCUGCCGGGGAGCCAUGGUGACAACGGAGCCAGGGACCCGGCAGGAGCCUCCCUGAGGAGUGCACCUCGGCAGACCCUGGGAAGCCUCGGGUUGUUCACCUUCAAAUGUGACCUGAGCGUCUGGCUGCAGAGCUGAGCCAAGGGGCUGCAAGCCUGGACAGUCAGCCACUUCAGUGGACAGACACAGGCCCGCGCUCCCUCCAGAGGGGGCAGCUGCCCUGAGCACCAGCUCCCAGGGACCUCCAUCCUCCCCGGCUCCCCACUGGGCCUCUGCGUGCCUGGGCAGGGCAGGGCAAAGUCCCGUGUGGACCCUCCCGGAGGCCACCGCCCACUCCUACACCUAAGGAGUGGACGCCAGGGUUAGUUCCAGCCCACGGCAUUUGGCCACGGGACUGACCUGCUCACCGUGAGCCUCCCGGCUGUGAAGUCCUGGGCCAGGACCCGCCUCCGUCUUCCCUGACUGCCUGUCCUCCUCCCUAGCCCGCCUCCUGCUGGCCCAGGCCUCGCGGAUCCCUCGCCCAGGGAAGGACAAGGGCCACCACUACACCCGUGCCUGCGAGGGUGACCAGACUCCAGGGCCACGCCAGGCCUCCUGCUCCCUCCUGUCACACGAGCACACAGCAACAGACCCGGCCACACCUACACACGUGUGCACAACACAGAUGUGCCCGCACACGCUCUGGCCCAGGCACACGGACGUGUGGGAGACACUCCCACUAGUUCCCACGGGUGGAUGAGCACGCGCACCCGGGCCCUGGGCAGGCUCCCUGCUAUCUCCAAGCUCCCCCCCUGGGUUGCCCCUGCUGGGCGAGUCCUCCCUCCCUCCCUCCUGAUCCUCCUUCUGAGGAUGAGUCCUCCCUCCUGGGGUGAGUCCUUUCUCCUGGGGCGAAUCCUCCUCUGGACGAGUCCUCCCUGAGGCCUGUCUCCUGCCCCCUGCCCUCACGGAGCCCUUCGGUGGCCUGAGCAGCUGCCCAUGCCAGGCCCCAGGGGGCAGGUCCUCCCUCCUUUCUCUGCACCCUGCUCCCCGCAGCCUGGCCGCGGGGUGGGGUGCAGGAUCUGGGAGGUGGGGCUCCCCCCGCUCCCCAGGAACCGUGCACACAGUCCUGAUGCCCCUGCGGCAGGGCCAGCUGGUCCUCAAGAGGCCACAGUUUCCAACUGAGAUGCCGAGGAAGUCGCCCUGGGGGCGUUGAAGUCCAGGGUCACCAAUAGGGUGUUGGGGACAGGGCUCCCAGGAGGGGUCCCUCACUGCUCCAGGAACGGUGGCCAGCCCAGACGUGUCACCCAUAGAGCACAGCCUGGGGCAGGGGGGACAGGGAGAGGACGUGGGCUGGGCCCCGGGGCUUCCUGAAGGUGCCUUUCCCCUGAGGGGCAGCAGGACAGCACCGUCCUGUGACGUGCAGGGCACGGUGGGGACCAGGCCUGGCACAGCCCAGGGAGCCCCUUCCAGGAACCGUGUCCUGGGGUUUCUUCUGGGAAUUUGGGCACCAGGAAGGCCCUGGGGACGGAGCUGCUGGGAAUGGCCAGGGAGGCCGCGUGAGGAGCCGUGGAGGGUAGAGUUGGUGGCCUGUCCCCCCUUUCCAGGCCACAGUCCAGGGUCGGGGGCCACUGGGAGGGCCGGGAGGACGCCGUGGAGCCCGAGAACAGGCCCCCAUGGGCCACGGGUGCAAGGCUGGGGGUGGACGGACGUGAGGCCCCGAGUCGUGCUUCCUGCAGGGAGGGACGCGGCCGGAGCAGGGCCCGGCUGACUCGUGCCUGCGGAGCCCCAACCCAGGACCCCAGAGUGUGGCUUGUUCAGAAGUAGUCACUGCCGGUGGAACUGGCUCAGGUGUGGUCACGGCGGCCGGUGGCCCUGCUCCAGUGUCACCAGUGGCCCUCUGAAAAGGGAACCAGAGACGGCGGGCAGGGAGCAAGCCCUGGAGUGGACGGCCAUGAGCCCGGGAACCGCCGAGGGGCAGGGACAGAGCCUCCUCCUGCCCGGGAAUCGGGAGGACAGACCCACUGUCGGGGUCUGUGGGGGGCACUUCACCAUGACGGUCCCGGAAGACCCAUGCAGCCCAGGUGGGGACCCUGUUGACUCUGGGGACCCCGGGCCCGUGAGGGCAGGGAGCAGGGGGGGGCCUGCAGCGGGAGCAGCCUCCUUCCGCCCCGCUGCCCAGUCCUCACUCCCUAGCCAAUGGGUCCCGGCCUGCGAGGUGUCCAGCCCGAGGGUCAUCAAGGUGACCGUGGUCCCGAGGGUGGUGGGGCUGGGCCCCAGAGUUCCCUGCCCACUAGGGGUGGCCCUGCUGCCGGCUGCUGGCCCCACCUGCCGUCCCCCCAGGGGGAGGGGGAGCUGGCCGGGCCCCUUUACUCCAUGUGCUCGUGUGUUCCAUGAAAGUGGCCAAUAAAACCCGAUUUCCCUUCUGCCCAGGAGCCCCGGCCCAGGUGCCAGCCAGGAGCGCCAUCCACACUGUUGGCACAGCAGAGCCGCCCCUGCCCCCGAGGCGGAGCUCGGGCUUCCUGGAGUGUCAGCCAGGACGGGCUGAGGGCGGCCUACUGCCCGGCUGGAGGCCCCGGGAAGCCGCCCCUCAGCCGGGAGCGGGUCCUGCCGUGUCCCUGUCACUGCUUGGGGCCCGGCUUGGUUUUCCCAGAACACAAGGUGGAGGACCCUGGCUCGCCCGGUUUGCAGAGCUGGGAUCUGAGGAGCAGCCUGGGGUCACCAGCAGCGUCCAGGUCCACACCCAGACAGAGCCGCUCCAGAGCCCGGGCUCACCCUGCUGUAGGGGACAGAGGGGGCGGCAGGGGGACUCGCCGAGGGAGCCCCUGCUCGGGGAGGCUCAGGGCCUGCCGCCGAGCUCGGCUUGGCCAGCCCCUGGGGGGCUCUGGGAGGACCACGUGUGAGGGCGGGCGGCAGAGGUUUGAGCUGGGGUCAGCCGCAGUCCAGCUGGGGACCCAGAUGUCGGGGGGGGGGGGUCUGGAUUUUCCAGGGACCACAGGCUCUGGCAGAGUGCCACGCCACCCGGUGCACAAGGCAGGGCCGGGGUCCUGGGAGGGGAGGCCUGAGCUCAGAGGACAGGUCUGCAGCGGCUGCCCCCCCCCAGGUGGGAGGAAUUCUGGGCCUCCGUUCCCCUGGCCUCCCCUGUCUCCAGCUGGCCCGGCCAGGGCCUCUCAGACAGACCCCUGCUCUGGGCUUGACUGGCCUGUGCAUUGCUACCCCGGUGCCGUCUCUGGAGGCCUCCUCCUGCCCUGACCCAGGGCCCCGUGGCCUCUCCACCCCCUCCCUGCCCUGGAGCAGAGCCUGGCCGCCCCCCUGCUGGCUCGGGGACCCGCCUCCAGUGGCCGGACCGAGAUCCAGGACUCAUCUUCUCCCUUCUCUGUCACCCCAUUGUAAAACCCAACGGCUUCUGUCCCCAGGCUGCUGCUGCCCGGGGACCACAGUCCAGUGGGGGGGGGGUGAAACUGCCCCCGGGCUGCUCUGGGCCCAGCCGCCCCAGGCGCUCCCUAGUCCAGGCCCGGGGAUGGGGGGGAUGGGUCCUGCAGUGGGUGGGGACCUGCUCCUGACCUUGGCCUCCCAGCCUCCGUCAUAGCCUGGUGGUCCCCGAGCUCUGCCCUGGCCACCCGGGGCCACCCGCCACUCCUCCCACACCCAGACUCAGACCCCAUCCCUGGGCCCUGCAGACAGGGUUACCCCUUUUCUCUUUUUCUGGCCCGGGGUCCCCAGGGGGGCUUAGCCUCGGAGCCCCGCCCAGCCGCCUCCCAUGUAUUUUGAGACAGGGGCUCCCUGAGUAGCUUAGGCUGGUCUUGAACUUGCGAUCCUCCUCCUCAGCCUCCCGCGUUGCUGCGAUUACUCCAUGUCCCCUCCCAUUCUCUAUAGGCAGGAUCUGUCCCUGUCACCCCUGGGUCCCCAGCACCCUUACAGGGCCUGGCACACAUUAUCUGGGCAAAGAAUCCCUGAUGCAUGGACCCAUGGUUGGACGAGUUGGUGGGUGGGCAGACGGGUGGUAG